rnacentral:rRNA from 1 species
UACGUAGGGUGCAAGCGUUAAUCGGAAUUACUGGGCGUAAAGCGUGCGCAGGCGGUUAUAUAAGACAGAUGUGAAAUCCCCGGGCUCAACCUGGGAACUGCAUUUGUGACUGUAUAGCUAGAGUACGGCAGAGGGGGAUGGAAUUCCGCGUGUAGCAGUGAAAUGCGUAGAUAUGCGGAGGAACACCGAUGGCGAAGGCAAUCCCCUGGGCCUGUACUGACGCUCAUGCACGAAAGCGUGGGGAUCGAACAGG